rnacentral:lncRNA from 1 species
CGUUUUGUGAGACAAAGCAAUACUUCUUGAUGUGCAACAUGGUUGUUACCGGUAACAACAUCUAGGAAAGAAUCAACCCAAACUGGUGCUAGGGGUUGUUUUAAACUUGCAGUGAGGUGAGUUUUUACAAAGAUAUAAUGCUAGAGUGCAAGGUGAAUUUCAGAUGAAGAACAGCGCUAUAUAAUAUUAAAACCAGAUGUAGAAUGAAUGUCAAUGAGAUAAAUAUUCAUAGACAAACAAGGUUGGAAACAAUAAAAGCACUGUUCCUCAGCUUUUUGUAAUUUUUUUGUCU